GACGAACGCUGGCGGCGUGGAUUAGGCAUGCAAGUCGGACGGUAGGGCUUUAUCGUAAGAUAGAGUUUGAGAGUGGCGAACGGGUGAGGUAACACGUAGGAAUCUACCCUUAAGACGGGGGACAACCCAGGGGAAACUUGGGCUAAUACCGGAUGAGAGUGCGAGAGAUUGCAUUUAAAAGGUGGCGAAAGUUGUCGCUUAGGGGAUGAGCCUGUCGGUCUAUUAGUUAGUUGGUGAGGUAAGAGCUCACCAAGGCGAUGAUAGAUAGGCGGCCUUAACGGGUGGUCGCCCACACUGGGGAUUGAGAUACGGCCCAGACUCCUACGGGAGGCAGCAGUCGAGAAUAGUCUACAAUGGGCCGGAAAGGCUGAUAGUGCGACGCCGCGUGAACGAGGGAGCCCUUCGGGGGUGUAAAGUUCUUUUCUAUACGAGCAGUGCUAUAUAUAUGGAUAGUAUAUAUAGAGGGAUAGUAGUAUAGGAAUUAAGCAACGGCUAAACUCCGUGCCCAGCAGCCCGG
rnacentral:rRNA from 1 species